rnacentral:lncRNA from 1 species
AAGUCAGUCUUCCACUAGCAGCCUUUGGAUGAAGACAUAGAACUCUCGGCUCCUCCUGCACCAUGCCUGCCUGGAUGCUGCCAUGCACCCGCCUUGAUGAUAAUGGACUGAAUCUCUGAACCUGAGUUUUCCCCCUUUAGUUUUGGAAGGAUUUGGCGAUUUCACUUCUAUCCUAGCUCUGUGAACAAAACAGUAAGAUUUCACACUGAUAUCUUACAAGCUAAGAACAAAAGACAGUUGACUGUAACAUGUCUUCGUGGGAACAGUUUUUGAAGCAUCCUGUCAGCUGGUCAACCAGCUCCCUGGCUUUGCAUCUCUGAUUCCUUUUUCCUUCCGGAGGUUGUUAUUAUUUUAUUACUUUUUUGUUUUGUUUUGUUUUUUCGAGACAGGGUUUCUCUGUAUAGCCCUGGCUGUCCUGGAACUCACUCUGUAGACCAGGCUGGCCUCGAACUCAGAAAUCCUCCUGCCUCUGCCUCCUGAGUGCUGGGAUUAAAGGCCUGUGUGCCACUACGCCCAGUGACUUGUUACUUUUAAAUAUCAUGUAUCUCUUGUGAAGUUCCCAGUCUGUCAAUAUAUUGCCUUCCUCACCUCCCUGAGUUUGGCUGUAAGCAUCCUUUUGAAUACUAUGUUAGGUAAAUCUCUUAUCUCCAUUUCAUUAUGGAGAGUUUACGGGGAUUUUAAUUACUGUCAGUUGGAAUAGAUUUUCCAGUUUCUACAUUUUUUUCAAUCCCUCUCUGUGCAUUUCUGUAUAUUAAAUAAAGGAGUUGGGUAUCCAGAUUUCUGUGGGCUGUUCUUGGGUGGGAGUCUCUCUCUCUCUCUCUCUCUCUCUCUCUCUCUCUCUCUCUCUCUCUGUCUCUUUCUGUCUCUCUGUCUCUCUCUCUCUGUCUCUGUUUGUCUCUCUGCCUUUCAGUCCAGGUGCCUCUUGAUUCAAAACAAAACAAAACAAAACAAAACAAAACAAAACACUCACUGUGUUUUGUUCUUAGCAGCUUGUGAGAAAUCACAGUGUGGAGCUGGAGAGAUGGCUUGGUGGUUAAGAGCACUGACUGCUCUUCCAAAGGUCCUGAGUUCAAAUCCCAGCAACCAUAUGGUGGCUCACAACCAUCCGUAAUGGGAUCUGACGCCCUCUCCUGGUGUGUCUAAAGAUAGCUAUAGUGUACAUAUGUAUAAUAAUAAAUAAAUCUUUGGGCCAGAGCGAGCAGAGGUCCUGAGUUCAAUUCCCAGCAACCACAUGAUGGCCCACAACCGUAUUUACAGCUACAGUGUACUCAUAUACAUAAAAUAAAUAAAUCUUUUUA